AUGGCUCAGGAUGAACGCUGGCGGCGUGCCUAACACAUGCAAGUCGAACGAGCGAUAGAUGAAACCUAGUGAUUCUCGAGCGAGUGGCGGACGGGUGAGUAACGCGUGGGUAACCUGCCUUACAGAGGGGGAUAACAGUCUGAAAAGACUGCUAAUACCGCAUAAGCACACAGUACCGCAUGGUACAGGGUGAAAAGAUUUAUCACUGUAAGAUGGACCCGCGUCUGAUUAGCCAGUUGGCAGGGUAACGGCCUACCAAAGCGACGAUCAGUAGCCGACCUGAGAGGGUGAUCGGCCACAUUGGGACUGAGACACGGCCCAAACUCCUACGGGAGGCAGCAGUGGGGGAUAUUGCACAAUGGAGGAAACUCUGAUGCAGCGAACCGCCGCGUGAGUGAAGAAGUAUUUCGGUAUGUAAAGCUCUAUCAGCAGGGAAGAUAAUGACAGUACCUGACCAAGAAGCCCCGGCUAACUACGUGCCAGCCGCUGC
rnacentral:rRNA from 1 species